rnacentral:rRNA from 1 species
GCGCAGCUACACAUGCAAGUCGAGCGGAGAUGAGGUGCUUGCACCUUAUCUUAGCGGCGGACGGGUGAGUAAUGCUUAGGAAUCUGCCUAUUAGUGGGGGACAACAUUCCGAAAGGGAUGCUAAUACCGCAUACGUCCUACGGGAGAAAGCAGGGGAUCUUCGGACCUUGCGCUAAUAGAUGAGCCUAAGUCGGAUUAGCUAGUUGGUGGGGUAAAGGCCUACCAAGGCGACGAUCUGUAGCGGGUCUGAGAGGAUGAUCCGCCACACUGGGACUGAGACACGGCCCAGACUCCUACGGGAGGCAGCAGUGGGGAAUAUUGGACAAUGGGGGGAACCCUGAUCCAGCCAUGCCGCGUGUGUGAAGAAGGCCUUAUGGUUGUAAAGCACUUUAAGUGAGGAGGAGGCUACUGAGACUAAUACUCUUGGAUAGUGGACGUUACUCGCAGAAUAAGCACCGGCUAACUCUGUGCCAGCAGCCGCGGUAAUACAGAGGGUGCGAGCGUUAAUCGGAUUUACUGGGCGUAAAGCGUGCGUAGGCGGCUUUUAAGUCGGAUGUGAAAUCCCCGAGCUUAACUUGGGAAUUGCAUUCGAUACUGGGAAGCUAGAGUAUGGGAGAGGAUGGUAGAAUUCCAGGUGUAGCGGUGAAAUGCGUAGAGAUCUGGAGGAAUACCGAUGGCGAAGGCAGCCACCUGGCCUAAUACUGACGCUGAGGUACGAAAGCAUGGGGAGCAAACAGGAUUAGAUACCCUGGUAGUCCAUGCCGUAAACGAUGUCUACUAGCCGUUGGGGCCUUUGAGGCUUUAGUGACGCAGCUAACGCGAUAAGUAGACCGCCUGGGGAGUACGGUCGCAAGACUAAAACUCAAAUGAAUUGACGGGGGCC